rnacentral:tRNA from 1 species
UAGAAGGUAGUAUAAGUGGUAGUACAUGAAGUUUUGGACUUUGCGGUGUAGGUUCGUGGCCUAUCCUUCUA